rnacentral:rRNA from 1 species
AGCGAACGUUUGCGCCGGGCUUAACACAUGCAAGUCGAACGAGAAUCCCUUCGGGGAGGAAAGUGGCGCACGGGUGCGUAACACGUGGAUAACCAACCCAUUGGUUUGGGACAACACCGGGAAACUGGUGCUAAUACCAGAUGUGUCGCAGCUGUCUUCAGGCGGUUGCGAGAAAGGCCCGCAAGGGUCGCCAACGGACGGGUCCGCGUCCCAUCAGCUAGUUGGUGAGGUAAUGGCUCACCAAGGCAAAGACGGGUAGCUGGUCUGAGAGGAUGAUCAGCCACACUGGAACUGAGACACGGUCCAGACUCCUACGGGAGGCAGCAGUGGGGAAUAUUGCGCAAUGGGCGAAAGCCUGACGCAGCCACGCCGCGUGAGCGAUGAAGGUCUUCGGAUCGUAAAGCUCUGUGGGGGGAGAAGAAGAAAGCCGGUGAAGAGCCGGCCCUGACGGUAUCCCCUUAGCAAGCACCGGCUAACUCCGUGCCAGCAGCCGCGGUAAAG